AGUCACCCAGAGCCCGUAGACUGAGUGCUCUCGAUGAGGACUUCUUUGACUUCUCAAACCCAGACUCUGCAUCCAGUAAUCUACCUGGCAGAAGCAGAGAGUACAACAUAAAAAACAAUCUAGGUUUUGUAGGAGAUUCCAACCCAGGGGUUUUCAGACCACAUCUUGAGCAUGUGGACACAUCAUUAAAUAUGAGGACUAAACGUCCAGAGAUCGGUUCUUGACAGAGUAAAUCUACUGGGAGCUGCCUGAUUGAUUUUCGAUUUGAACAAAAAGCUGUAUUUAUUAUCAUG